ACCCGCUGAACUUAAGCAUAUCAAUAAGCGGAGGAAAAGAAACCAACAGGGAUCGCCCUAGUAACGGCGAGUGAAGCGGCAACAGCUCAAAUUUGAAAUCUGGCUCUUUUAGAGUCCGAGUUGUAAUUUGCAGAGGGCGCUUUGGCUUUGGCAGCGGUCCAAGUUCCUUGGAACAGGACGUCACAGAGGGUGAGAAUCCCGUACGUGGUCGCUGGCUAUUGCCGUGUAAAGCCCCUUCGACGAGUCGAGUUGUUUGGGAAUGCAGCUCUAAAUGGGAGGUACAUUUCUUCUAAAGCUAAAUAUUGGCCAGAGACCGAUAGCGCACAAGUAGAGUGAUCGAAAGAUGAAAAGCACUUUGGAAAGAGAGUCAAACAGCACGUGAAAUUGUUGAAAGGGAAGCGCUUGCAGCCAGACUUGCUUACAGUUGCUCAUCCGGGCUUUUGCCCGGUGCACUCUUCUGUAGGCAGGCCAGCAUCAGUUUGGGCGGUAGGAUAAAGGUCUCUGUCACGUACCUCUCUUCGGGGAGGCCUUAUAGGGGAGACGACAUACUACCAGCCUGGACUGAGGUCCGCGCAUCUGCUAGGAUGCUGGCGUAAUGGCUGU
rnacentral:rRNA from 1 species